rnacentral:tRNA from 1 species
GCCGGAAUGGUGGAAUGGCAUACACGGACGCCUCAAAAGCGUCUGCUCGAAAGGGCGUGCGGGUUCGAAUCCCGCUUCCGGCACCC